GGCCGGGCUGGGCGGUCGGGCUCGUUCUGGGUCUGCACUGCCGGUCUGGUCUUUCCUUCUGGGGAACGUGCGUGCACUUGACUGGGUGCGCACGCGAUCCAGGACUUUUACUUUGAAAAAAUUAGAGUGUUUAAAGCGGGCGUGUUUUUUUGCUUGAAUACAUUAGCAUGGAAUAAUAGAAUAGGACUUUGGUUCUAUUUUGUUGGUUUCUAGGACCGAAGUA
rnacentral:rRNA from 1 species